AGCCGACUUAGCUCAGUAGGUAGAGCACAUCCAUGGUAAGGAUGGGGUCCCCGGUCCGAAUCCGGGAGUCGGCUCCAU
rnacentral:tRNA from 1 species